ensembl:lncRNA
AAGCGGGAUAUGUGCUGUCCGAAAGACUCACACAAAAGUAUGUUUAUUUGUCAAGCUGAUAUUGGCGUAUUCUCGUUUGUAUUUUGCUCGUUGUUACUGAGCAUGGCAGAUACAAUCCAACAACUGCCAUUCAAUCAACGCGAUCUGAGAGGAAGGGAGGAGGAAAACGGUGGUGGCAGGUGGUCUUCUCACCUGAGCAUGGAAGAGCCGCUCAAAAUCUUCUCUGAAACCAUGACCCUGUACAAGGAGCUGACUAAGAAAGAUCACAGGGUCAUCACCACGGUGGUCACUGAGGGGAAGGUGUUCUACGACGCGGAGGACUAUCCCCAGCAGUACCUGAAGACGGUCGCUAGGGGGUACUGUGGUCUCAUUGGGACCGGGAACAUGCCUACUCGGACUGGAUAAGGAGGAGUUGUGAGGGCAUCGGCCGUGAGGACCGAGAGAGAGGGUGCAAUAGAGAGAGAGAGAUGGGACACACAGUGAAUAAACACCGGGCCUUGUAUUACGAAGAGAGGCCUGAUGGGCGACACUUCAGGUCUUUAUGUUUGAGCGUUUCUCACCCACCGCAGCCUCUUUCAGAGGCUUCCUAUUGCUGGCCGGGGGCUGCUAACUGUCCUUCCAUGUGGACUUUAUCAGUUGUUGUUUGAAGCACGGUUUUAUCUGAGCUCACUGGGGUAAGGUCGUCCGUUGGACUUCCCCCCACACACAUACAC